rnacentral:lncRNA from 1 species
CGACCGUCCUAACAAAGUCCCAUUGAGUCACCAGCUGAUUUUCCUGUGUUCAGCUCUGGGGGACAAGGGACUCUCUUUGCUGGAUGGGCAUUACUCUAGUGCACUGACCGAGCCACUCACCACUCAGGUCCGCCCCAGUUCCUUCCUGCCCUUUAUGCCAUCGGCAGACUUGGCCAGCUCUCUGUCCUAUGGCCAGUUUUGGUAGAGUCUGAAGAUUAAAAGGGACCGCAAAAAACCCCAGGCACCGCACCCGCACCUUCAGGACCCGCCACCAUCACUUCCAGGAGGGGUCCUCCGGCCCAAGUCCUCUAACUACCUCAGUUGUUCUAGAGAAAGGUGCAGAUGGAUCGAUGAGAGUCCUAACCUGCUUCUGGAGCCGCCAUUCAUCUCCGUCCACUUUGGAACCCGGCAAGGGUCAUGCUAUCUGAUCUGGGACCCUUAGAGUCCCCACAGCCUGCAUAGGGUCGCCUUGUCUUAAGAAGACAUCAUUGCAUAUGGGUGACACACACCUGUAAUCUCAGCACUCAGGAGGCUAAGGCAAAGGGAUCGUGAGUUUGAAGCCAACUUGGGUUACACAGACUGUCUUUCCCCGGUGCUCACCAAAUAGGGCUGCCUAGGUUUCUUGGCCCUGAAGUCCCAAGGACAAAAAACUGUGGAAGUCGUGCAAAAAAACACCAGAAACUGAACUGCCCACUGCCACAGAGAAAAUGGACAUGCGUGGGACCCUUGCAGCCACACUGCCAGCAAGGGGCUUCUGCUCCAGCCAGAAUGCUUUGCCCCUGCCCUGUCCUUGGCCACUCUGACCUCAUGCUGCUGGCCCUGGGUCCUGCUUUUAACGCUGAUUGCUGGAGUGAACGAGGGCCCGGGAGGAAGAGUCUGUGGGGAAAGCUGGCAGAGCGAUGAACGUUUUACACGAGCCAGCGAGUCACUGCCUUAUCGGGAAGAUGAGCUGCUCCCUCUUACCAGGAAGUACGAUGUGCGGAGAGCCAGUGUUUUUCCAAAGAUGGCCUUUGAAGAGGAGUGUUCCUUUAAGGGCUGGGAAAGCAGGAGUGAGGCUGGUGGAGAGAAACUGGGCCCCUUUAAGAUGCCUGGCUCUGGCAGGCUUUGCAGUCUUGGAGGUAAUAAGAGUCUGGCCACCUAUAUGCACUUGCUGGGUGUCUAUAGCUGCUUUAAGCACUCAAUCUAUACCAAGCCAUAUCAUAACAAGCCUAUAUAAUAAACAUCAGUCGGGUUUUUUUGCCUUUUAUCAAAAA